ensembl:lncRNA
CUGUGUGUGUGUGUUUGUGUGUGUACGUGUGUGGAUGUGUGUGUGUGUGUAUUGCUUUUGGACGCCUUUCGGACAGUGUGUUCCGGACUGAUUUAAGAGGUACGGUAUAGUUUUAACAGGGGAUCAUUACAUUGAGGGAGUCAAGUAGCAGACAGUUGUUUCAAAGUGCUUGGGGAUCGCCAGCCAGCACUGGGCUAGAGAUGGAGAUGGAGAGAGAGCGAGAGAGAGAGAGAGAGAGAGAGAGAGAGAGAGAGAGAGAGAGAGAGAGAGAGAGAGAGAGAGAGAGAGAGAGAGAGAGAGAGAGAGAGCAGGAAAGCGAGCAAGAGAGAGAGGGGAGGGAAAGAGAGAGAGAGAAAAGCGAGAAAGAGAGAGAAAGCGAGAGAGAGCGAGAGAGAGAGGGGGGAGGAACCAGCGCCAAACAGCAGUCACACGCAGCAGCGCAGAUGCCAGCAGCUCUCACAACAAACGCGUCUUGUUAGACAGGAAGAGAGAACAUGAGAAACACAUUCAAAUGCGUUGUACCCGUCGUUGGACAUCAUUUGAAGCCUUCAAGUUCCUAAGGAGAGCAAAACACGGGACGGAGAGUGCACGUGUGUGUGAAGCCGUGCAGCUUUUCUUUGCAGACUGCUGUCCCGAAAGCGUCGCAGGCAGAAAUAGCUCUAAGGUGCGUUGACGUUCUCCUCAGCCUGGGAGUCCCGUGCGUAAGAGACAGAGGGCUCCACUCGUCGAUGUGACUUCCUGGGAUGCUCAGGCGCACCCGCUCCCCCUGCUUCUCUUCCGGCCUCCACCAGAGGAAGACAGGGCACCAUUGAAAGACGCCGGCCGUUCUUCUGUAGGUACCAGAUGCAGCCGGCUGCCGUGGUAACGCGGAGCCGAGACGGCGGGGCCUCGUCUGUGAUGGAUGAGUCCGUGGUCCGUGCCAGGGGCCACGGGCCCCACAGACAAACACAGUGAUGCCCCCCCCCGGGAUCCUGAUAAUGGAUUCCACGUUUUCAGUCUUUGGCCCCUGGUUGAACGUCUUGGCUUUGCUCCCCUCUGGGAUCACCCGAGAUUUAUCCCGUCUGAGCAGCCCAGGACAUCAGGGACUUACAACCGUUUGUUCCCACGUUCACACACACACACACCGACGGUGUGUCAACCACGCAGGGCGACAGCCAGCUCGUCAGGCGCAGUCAGGGGUGAGGCGUUUCACUCAGGGACACCUCGACCCUCAGCCAGGAGGAUGCUAGUUCGGGGAUCGAACUAGCAACCUUCCAGUCACCAGUCAACCCGCUCUGCCACCUGGGUUGGCGUCGCCUCCUAUGUCGUGUGACUGCAGGCACUGAUCAAGGUCGCCAUUGGUUUAUUGUUGCGCAGCGUUGGACACGGAGCCAUUUGUCUUUGACGGCGCUGUGUGUAUUUUGAGCUCAUCUGGAACCACCUGGAACCACCUGGACAGAAGUGUAUGUUUUAGUUUGCUAGUUUCUCCUCGUAGAUCAGCAUGGCGGCUUGUUUAAUGACUGAGUCAUGGGGGCCCCAUCUCGCUAGCCCGUAAAGAUGGGGCGCUGAUAAUGGGGGGCCCAUCAGUGCUGAUUUGUGGUCUUCCUCGUUAUCCUGGUGGGGGCCGAUGACCUGGGGCCCAGAUGAUGUAUACCUUUGGAAACCUUCAGACAUAUCACCAUUUGUUGCUAGGGAACGAGGCUAUACAUACCGAUAUUAUGGGAUGUUGGGGACAUGAUGGAGCGUAAACGAAUAACCUAAUUGAUUAGUCAAAUCUAUAAAAGCUAAAGUGCUAAAUCGAUACGUUUUAAUUGAGUUGUUAUUUUUUAAGGUUGAUGGUUUUUCUAUGUAGCAAAAUAUGACACAAGUGACUUUAGGAGACUUAAGGGAUUUAUCUAUUGCUGUCAGUUAAACGCGGUAUUAAUGGCGUUAACGCAAACCAAUUUUAACAGCGUUAAUUAACGGCUAAUUAUUUUAUUGUAUUUGGCUCAAAUCAAAGAAGCAGUAGCCUGACUGCUAUAUUCAAGGCAGUAUGUUUGUAUUUUCAUCGUUUAAUUGCACUUUAAUAGGCAUUUUUUUGUAUCGUCCUGUUUUUGCCAAUGUUGUUAUCAAUAAAAAAACAUUUGCACAAGGCAAGCCGAUGCACUUCUCCAAGUUGAUAAGAGCAUUAAAAUGAGAAAAUUUAUUGGGACACAGAAAUCAAGGGAUAUUUGGCAUAGAAAAAAUGUGCGAUUAAUCGUGAGUUAACUAUGACAUUAAUGCGAUUAAUCGCGAUUAAAUAUAUUAAUCGCUUGACAGCACUAGAUUUAUAAUGUUUCCAAGUCCAGGAGUUACCUUUGACCUCUGAAAGCCUCACUUGGUCAAGGCUCACUUCAUCCUCGCCCAUCACCUCCAUCCCCCCCAUCACCCCCCUCACCCCCAUCAGGCCCAUCACCUGACCUCCGACCUCCUUGCCUUCACCUUCCCUUCAAGUCUGCUGCCUGAAGGACACACUCAGACGCUGACCCACUUCUGGAUGCAUGGGGAGGGCAGAGAGACUAGGGCAGGGACAGAGACGGACUUGGAGACACGUCAUUAGCAUUUUGUGUGUGUGUGUGUGUGUGUGUGUGUGUGUGUGUGUGUGUGUGUG